GAGACUCGGCCCCAUUCCACAACUUGUACCACACUAUCAUCUUGUGGUCAAGCACAUGUAUGGUGUAACACCCCAGUCCCACAUCGAAAGAUAUUGGGAAAAUUUGUCUGUGUAUAAGGAAUUAAGUUACUACCAAUAUUACCUUCAAGUCAUGAACUUUUGGGUGAGUCUGUGGUGGGCUAUGAUGACCCAAUAAGAUACUAUUGGGUAAGUGGUUUAAGGCCUUAUUUGGAUGGAUUUGAUUCGAUUUGGACUUGGGAUUUGACUUGAGAUUUGUUCUGGACUCGUGAUUUGACCUGAGUUGUUUCAUAUGGUAUCAGAACUGACUUUCGAAAGCUCGGGUCGGGUCAUCCGAUCGGGUUGUCGAAGGUGGGGACACAAAGACUGGUGGUAUUAUCCCACAAUGGAGAGAUGGAGGUCCGGAGGUGGGGACACGAAGGCAG
rnacentral:lncRNA from 1 species